UGAACGCUAGCUACAGGCUUAACACAUGCAAGUCGAGGGGCAGCAUUUCAGUUUGCUUGCAAACUGGAGAUGGCGACCGGCGCACGGGUGAGUAACACGUAUCCAACCUGCCGAUAACUCGGGGAUAGCCUUUCGAAAGAAAGAUUAAUACCCGAUGGUAUAAUCAGACCGCAUGGUCUUGUUAUUAAAGAAUUUCGGUUAUCGAUGGGGAUGCGUUCCAUUAGGCAGUUGGUGAGGUAACGGCUCACCAAACCUUCGAUGGAUAGGGGUUCUGAGAGGAAGGUCCCCCACAUUGGAACUGAGACACGGUCCAAACUCCUACGGGAGGCAGCAGUGAGGAAUAUUGGUCAAUGGGCGCAGGCCUGAACCAGCCAAGUAGCGUGAAGGAUGACUGCCCUAUGGGUUGUAAACUUCUUUUAUAUGGGAAUAAAGUUUUCCACGUGUGGAAUUUUGUAUGUACCAUAUGAAUAAGGAUCGGCUAACUCCGUGCCAGCAGCCGCGGUAAUACGGAGGAUCCGAGCGUUAUCCGGAUUUAUUGGGUUUAAAGGGAGCGUAGGUGGACAGUUAAGUCAGUUGUGAAAGUUUGCGGCUCAACCGUAAAAUUGCAGUUGAUACUGGCUGUCUUGAGUACAGUAGAGGUGGGCGGAAUUCGUGGUGUAGCGGUGAAAUGCUUAGAUAUCACGAAGAACUCCGAUUGCGAAGGCAGCUCACUGGACUGCAACUGACACUGAUGCUCGAAAGUGUGGGUAUCAAACAGGAUUAGAUACCCUGGUAGUCCGCACAGUAAACGAUGAAUACUCGCUGUUUGCGAUAUACAGUAAGCGGCCAAGCGAAAGCAUUAAGUAUUCCACCUGGGGAGUACGCCGGCAACGGUGAAACUCAAAGGAAUUGACGGGGGCCCGCACAAGCGGAGGAACAUGUGGUUUAAUUCGAUGAUACGCGAGGAACCUUACCCGGGCUUAAAUUGCAUUUGAAUAUAUUGGAAACAGUAUAGCCGUAAGGCAAAUGUGAAGGUGCUGCAUGGUUGUCGUCAGCUCGUGCCGUGAGGUGUCGGCUUAAGUGCCAUAACGAGCGCAACCCUUAUCUUUAGUUACUAACAGGUCAUGCUGAGGACUCUAGAGAGACUGCUGUCGUAAGAUGUGAGGAAGGUGGGGAUGACGUCAAAUCAGCACGGCCCUUACGUCCGGGGCUACACACGUGUUACAAUGGGGGUACAGAAGGCAGCUACCUGGUGACAGGAUGCUAAUCCCAAAAGCCUCUCUCAGUUCGGAUCGAAGUCUGCAACCCGACUUCGUGAAGCUGGAUUCGCUAGUAAUCGCGCAUCAGCCAUGGCGCGGUGAAUACGUUCCCGGGCCUUGUACACACCGCCCGUCAAGCCAUGAAAGCCGGGGGUACCUGAAGUACGUAACCGCAAGGAGCGUCCUAGGGUAAAACUGGUAAUUGGGGCU
rnacentral:rRNA from 1 species